rnacentral:rRNA from 1 species
CAGUCGCCGCGGUAAUACGGAGGGCGCGAGCGUUACCCGGAUUUACUGGGCGUAAAGGGCGUGUAGGCGGCCUGGGGCGUCCCAUGUGAAAGGCCACGGCUCAACCGUGGAGGAGCGUGGGAUACGCUCAGGCUAGAGGGUGGGAGAGGGUGGUGGAAUUCCCGGAGUAGCGGUGAAAUGCGCAGAUACCGGGAGGAACGCCGAUGGCGAGGGCAGCCACCUGGUCCACUUCUGACGCUGAGGCGCGAAAGCGUGGGGGGCAAACCGGAUUAGAGACCCCGGUAGUCCCUGUCUCUUAUAC